CACAGGGACAAACCCUUUGGCCCACAAUUAUCUGUGCUGGACAUGAUGCCAAAUUAAACUAAAUUUCCUCUGCCAGAACAUGACACAAAUCAAAACGACGGAUGGCACAGCAGCAUGGCAGUUAUCGCAAAUGCUUUACAGCGUUCACGAUCACCAAUCGAGGUUUGAUUCCCACCACUGUUUGUAUAGAGCUUAGAGCACCAUGCGUGGCUGAGAAAGAGACUUCGUGAGAACAAAAGGUGCUAGCAGCAAGUGAGGUUGGACACUAGGAUGGAGAGAAGCUGGCCCGUGAGACGAGAGAGCACGUUGCUCCGGAAGUUCAGCAAUCACCGGAUUCACCAAGAGGGGUUCUGGUGAGAGGCCGAGAGUUCCCGUCAUGGGGGGAAGCUGUGUUAUUAUGUGUGCAUAAUAAAGAACUUCAGUUCCCAGUGGGCACCGCGAGAUGGUUCACCCGGAAUCGAAAGUGACGAUGAUGUGACCUGGUCAUGCAUGCACAGAGUAGAGCAGCAGUUCAGUCAUAA